AAAGCUGGUUAUACUAAGCUUAUUCCUGUGCAAAAAUAUAGUAUCCCUAUUAUAUUAGCAGGACGAGAUUUGAUGCCUUGUGCUCAAACAGGGUCUGGGAAGACUGUAGCUUUUCUCUUGCCAAUUUUGGCUCAUAUGAUGCGUGAUGGAAUAACGGCCAGUCGUUUUAAAGAGCUGCAGGAACCAGAGUGUAUUAUUGUAGCACCAACUCGAGAAUUAAUCAACGAGAUUUAUCUGGAAGCCAGAAAAUUUUCUUUUGGGACUUAUGUAAGAGCUGUUGUUAUAUAUGGGGAAAUCCAGUUGGGGCAUUCAAUUCGACAAAUAGUACAAGGCUGUAAUACAUUAUGUGCUACUCCUGGAAGAUUGAUGGACAUCAUAGGCAAAGAAAAGAUUGGUCUGAGACAAAUCAAAUAUUUAGUUUUGGAUGAAGCUGAUCGCAUGUUGGAUAUGGGUUUUGGACCACAAAUGAAGAAAUUAAUUUCUUGCCCAGGAAUGCCAUCAAAGGAAGAGUGUCAAACCCUUAUGUUCAGUGCAACUUUUCCAGAAGAAAUUCAAAGGUUGUCUGGGGAGUUUUUAAAGUCGAAUUAUUUGUUUGUUGCUGUUGGACAAGUGGGUGGAGCAUGUUGAGAUGUUCGGCAGACUAUUCUUCAAGUUGGCCAGUACUCAAAAAGAGAAAAACUUGUCGAAAUUCUACGAAACACAGGUGAUGAAAGAACUAUGGUCUUUGUUGAAACUAAGAAAAAAGCAGACUUUAUUGCAACUU